rnacentral:rRNA from 1 species
UACGGAGGGUGCGAGCGUUAUCCGGAAUUCCUGGGUUUAAAGGGUGCGUAGGCGGCUUGGUAAGUCAGGAGUGAAAGUUUGCGGCUCAACCGUAAAAUUGCUUUUGAUACUGCCAGGCUAGAAUCAGGAUGAGGUCAGCGGAAUGUGGCAUGUAGCGGUGAAAUGCAUAGAUAUGCCAUAGAACACCUAUUGCGAAGGCAGCUGGCUAGACCUGUAUUGACGCUGAGGCACGAAAGCGUGGGGAGCGAACAGG